rnacentral:rRNA from 1 species
AUUGAACGCUGGCGGCAUGCUUUACACAUGCAAGUCGAACGGCAGCGCGGGCUUCGGCCUGGCGGCGAGUGUCGAACGGGUGAGUAAUACAUCGGAACGUGCCCAGUAGUGGGGGAUAGCUCGGCGAAAGCCGGAUUAAUACCGCAUACGCCCUGAGGGUGAAAGCGGGGGAUCUUCGGACCUCGCGCUAUUGGAGCGGCCGAUGGCAGAUUAGCUAGUUGGUGGGGUAAAGGCCUACCAAGGCGACGAUCUGUAGCUGGUCUGAGAGGACGACCUGCCACACUGCAACUGAGACACGGCCCAGACUCCUACGGGAGGCAGCAGUGGGGAAUUUUGGACAAUGGCCGAAAGCCUGGUCCAGCAAUGCUGCGUGUGUGAUGAAGGCCUUCGGGUUGUAAAGCACUUUUGGCGGGAACGAAAAGGACUGUGCCAAUACCACGGUUCGAUGACGGUACCCGCAGAAUAAGCACCGGCUAACUACGUG